GAACUGAAACAUCUAAGUACCCGUAGGAAAAGAAAUCAAUUGAGAUUCCCUUAGUAGCGGCGAGCGAACGGGGAUCAGCCGAUUCAUGACGUUGUAGUGGAAUACUCUGGAAAGUGUAGCAAUAAAGGGUGAUAGCCCCGUACACGAAACAGCGUUGUGAACAUAUUAAGUAGGUCGGGACACGAGUUAUCUUGACUGAAGAUGGGGGGACCAUCCUCCAAGGCUAAAUACUCCUAGCUGACCGAUAGUGAACUAG
rnacentral:rRNA from 1 species